GACGAACGCUGGCGGCGUGCUUAACACAUGCAAGUCGAACGGAAAGGCCCUGCUUUUGUGGGGUGCUCGAGUGGCGAACGGGUGAGUAACACGUGAGUAACCUGCCCUUGACUUUGGGAUAACUUCAGGAAACUGGGGCUAAUACCGGAUAGGAGCCCCUGCUGCAUGGUGGGGGUUGGAAAGUUUCGGCGGUUGGGGAUGGACUCGCGGCUUAUCAGCUUGUUGGUGGGGUAGUGGCUUACCAAGGCUUUGACGGGUAGCCGGCCUGAGAGGGUGACCGGCCACAUUGGGACUGAGAUACGGCCCAGACUCCUACGGGAGGCAGCAGUGGGGAAUAUUGCACAAUGGGCGGAAGCCUGAUGCAGCAACGCCGCGUGCGGGAUGACGGCCGUCGGGUUGUAAACCGCUUUCGCCUGUGACGAAGCGUGAGUGACGGUAAUGGGUAAAGAAGCACCGGCUAACUACGUG
rnacentral:rRNA from 1 species